GACGAACGCUGGCGGCGUGCUUAACACAUGCAAGUCGAACGGAAAGGCCUGCUUUCCCUUGUGGAUUGCGGGUACUCGAGUGGCGAACGGGUGAGUAGCACGUGAGUGAUCUGCCCCCAACUUGGGUAUAAGCCUGGGAAACUGGGUCUAAUUCCCGAUAGGACUGCAGGGUGGUGCCUGUGGUGGAAAACGAUUUUCUAGUGGUUGGGGAUGAGCUCGCGGCCUAUCAGCUUGUUGGUGGGGUAAUGGCCUACCAAGGCGGCGACGGGUAGCCGGCCUGAGAGGGUGGACGGCCACAUUGGGACUGAGAUACGGCCCAGACUCCUACGGGAGGCAGCAGUGGGGAAUAUUGCACAAUGGGCGGAAGCCUGAUGCAGCGACGCCGCGUGGGGGAUGACGGCCUUCGGGUUGUAAACUCCUUUCGACCGCGAGGAAGCCACCUGGUUGGAAGGGUGGUGACGGUAGUGGUAGAAGAAGCACCGGCUAACUACGU
rnacentral:rRNA from 1 species